GCCACGGUGGUCUAGCGGUUAGAACGCUGGCCUUGUAAUCCUGGGGUCUCGGUUUCGAUUCCCGGCGGUGCCC
rfam:Zootermopsis nevadensis contig9282, whole genome shotgun sequence.